rnacentral:rRNA from 1 species
GUAAGUCGCAAGCGUUAUCCGGAAUUAUUGGGCGUAAAGCGUCCGUAGGCGGUUUCGAUUAGUCUGAUGUUAAAUCUCAGAGCUCAACUCUGAGUCCGUAUCGGAAACUGUUGAAAUUGAGUAGUGCAGGGGCAGAUGGAAUUCCAGAAGUAGGGGUAAAAUCCGUAGAUCUCUGGAGGAACACCAAACGCGAAGGCAUUCUGCUGGGCACUUACUGACGCUGAGGGACGAAAGCGUGGGUAGCGAACGGGAUUAGAUACCCCGGUAGUCCACGCCGUAAACGAUGGAUACUCGGUAUUGGAGGAUUCGACCCCUUCGGUGCCUAAGCUAACGCAUUAAGUAUCCCGCCUGGGUAGUACGGUCGCAAAGAUUAA